rnacentral:lncRNA from 1 species
CAAGUCCAUUUCUGCAUCCAUUUCGCGCAAAAACGAUUCCGACUCACUCCGACACUCUCCAGAUGUGUCGACCAGUCACUAAUACUGAAGCCAAUCCUAUCCGAAGCUCAGAAACACUACAGGGUGGUUGGUUGAACAGUAUAAUCAAACGGAUUGUAGGGACUGAGAUUUUGACAGUGCAAUUAAACUCUCUGUUGAUGAUGUUUAUGUGUGUAAUUUAAUUACAUAAGCACUCGUCAAGUUUCAGGAGAAUAUGAGCUAGAAUGGAGAAGUUACGCGAUUAUUAGUUUCACUUAAGUGAAUAGUAACUCCGAUUUUCCGGAGAAGCCAAGGAGUAGAGUUGGCUUUCGGCGCGUAUCGGACUCCGUUCAUAGCGAUCCAAUAGCUCGUUUUGAACGGUUUAGCUAUUCUGGAACCAAUGGCACUGACGGAUUUUAGAUCUGAUGUACGGUUUUCGAGAAAAUCUAAAAUUACAUGUUUCUUAUGUAAUUGUGCAUCAUUUUGGCCUUUUGGAGAGAGAAUGGAUUUCGUCGUGAAUCGGAGAUCAAAUCUGACGAAACGAAAUGCUAGAUUCGAUGCCUCGACGUGCUGAACGCGUUGGCGUGAUCCGAUCGGAAAUCCGAUGGACGGAUCUUUGGGAAUUGCAAUAAGUUCGCUAAGGGGUCGAGAGUGGAAAAUCGGGAAAUUCGCAAAAGUCGUAUUAUUUUAUGUACCGAAUUGCACGAGAUCGAAUAUGGAGGUGCGAAUACGCGAUUGUUACCCACUAUGAAGGGCUAGGUAUGAAAUACCAAGCUUCGGUGGACUUUUGUGCAAAAUUGCACUCUGUAUACAAUGUGCAUCUAGGGUUUCUAUGCAUGAAACCCAAGAUCUACUCGACCCAGCGCCCCAUCUGUGCCCUAGCCGCCAUCUGCAGGCCCAUGCUCUAGCAGUGUGCGCACCCCGGCCGUCGGCGAGCUUCCCCGGCCGCCGGAAUUGCUUGGUCAACCUCUUUCCUCCACCUUGCCACCACCCCUUCGGCCUUCGACAUCAGAGAAGGUCCAAGACACCCUAGGAAGCCUUUCCCUCGGCCGAGACCCUUUCCCGGCGCAGUCCCCGCCGGCCUCCGCCGUCCCCGUGCCACGCCGGAGCUGCCCGAACUCCCUGCGGCCAGCAGCAGUCACCCAGGUCGAGCCUGGGUGAUCCCUGCCUCCGCGCGCCACCGCCGUUCCCCAUCGGUCGCGCCGCCCUCCGGUGACCUCCGGCGUGCCCCCGCGCGCCAUCGCCGCCGCUCCCGACCCCGCCGGCCGCCGCUCUCCCUCUCUGCG